GGGUCGUUAGCUCAGCUGGUAGAGCAGCUCCCUUUUAAGGAGAUGGUCGCAGGUUCGAUUCCUGCACGACCCACCA
rnacentral:tRNA from 2 species